GACGAACGCUGGCGGCGUGCCUAAUACAUGCAAGUCGAGCGGAACUGGGGGAGCUUGCUCCUUCCAGUUUAGCGGCGGACGGGUGAGUAACACGUGGGCAACCUGCCCUGCAGAUCGGGAUAACUCCGGGAAACCGGUGCUAAUACCGAAUAGUUUGGCGCCUCUCCUGAGGCGCUACGGAAAGACGGUUUCGGCUGGCACUGCAGGAUGGGCCGGCGGCGCAUUAGCUAUUUGGUGGGGUAACGGCCCACCAAGGCGACGAUGCGUAGCCGACCUGAGAGGGUGACCGGCCACACUGGGACUGAGACACGGCCCAGACUCCUACGGGAGGCAGCAGUAGGGAAUCUUCCGCAAUGGACGCAAGUCUGACGGAGCAACGCCGCGUGAGUGACGAAGGUUUUCGGAUCGUAAAACUCUGUUGUGAAGGAAGAACACGUACCAACUAACUAUUGGUACCUUGACGGUACCUCACCAGAAAGCCACGGCUAACUACGUGCCAGCAGCCGCCGUAA
rnacentral:rRNA from 1 species